AUUGAACGCUGGCGGCAGGCCUAACACAUGCAAGUCGAGCGGGGUUUUCGGACCUAGCGGCGGACGGGUGAGUAAUGCGUAGGAAGCUACCCGACAGAGGGGGAUACCAGUUGGAAACGACUGUUAAUACCGCAUAAUGUCUACGGACCAAAGUGUGGGACCUUCGGGCCACAAUGCUGUCGGAUGCGCCUACGUGGGGAUUAGCUAGUUGGUGAGGUAAUGGCUCACCAAGGCGACGAUCCCUAGCUGGUUUGGAGAGGAUGAUCAGCCACACUGGAACUGAGACACGGUCCAGACUCCACGGGAGGCAGCAGUGGGAAUAAUUGGACAA
rnacentral:rRNA from 1 species